GUCUGGGUAGCGCAGUGGUUAACGCAACUGCCUAGCAAGCAGGAGAUCCUGGGUUCGAAACCCGGCCCCGCACA